rnacentral:rRNA from 1 species
GAUGAACGCUGGCGGCGUGCCUAAUACAUGCAAGUCGAACGCACAGACGCGGCGCUUGCUCCUCUGACGUUUGCGGCAGACGUGUGAGUAACACGUGUAUAACCUCCCUAUAUGACUGGGAUAACUUCGGGAAGCCGGCGCUAAUUGCGGAUACUAUAUUGAACCGCAUGGUUCAAUAGUGAAGGACGUUUUUGCUGUCAGUUAUAGAUGGGUCCGCGCCGCAUUAGCUAGUUGGUAAGGUAACGGCUUACCAAGGCAACGAUGCGUAGCCGACCUGAGAGGGUGAUAGGGCACACUGUAACUGAGAGACGGUCCAGACGCCUACGGUAGGCAGCAGUAGGGAAGCUGCGGAAAUGGGAGAAAGCGUGACAGAGUAAUGCCGCGUGAGUGAUGAAGGGCUUCAGAUCGUAAAACUCUGUUAUUAGGGAAGACCAAAUGUAUAAGUAACUAUGCUUGUGGUGACGGUACCUAAUCAGGAAGCCACGGCUAACUACGUG